GACAUUUAUUGGGGAGACAAAGGUAAUAUUUUUCUUGGCUAUCCCUUUCUCUCAUGCAAGAAAUUUGAGGUGUAAGUUGAGGUGCAUAAAGUAUUAUCUUAAUCAUAGUUACAUAAUUUGUAAUACCCCCUGCCCAAGCAUACCACAAUCCUUGACAUGCAUCCUUGAUCACAAUACUUAGGUGUUCCAGAUCACAAUGGUGCGUGAUCUGAACCCCAAAACUGGAUUUCCUUCAAAUUUUAUGACCUUCAAAAUUGGGAAGAGGAAAGAAGAUGAGGUUUUGAUAUGAGAAACACAAAGGGAAUGCUAAUAGUAAAGCAGAAAGGUGAAGAAAAAGAAGAAAAGGGAAAUAUCUGCAACAUACUCUAUUAUGCAGAGAACUUUUUUUUUCCCCUCCUUUGACAGUGCAAAGUUUAUACGUUUUCCUUCUUUUAAACCUCCUUAAAAAAUUCUUAUGGACCUUGUUUUGAAUUUGGGUUGCAUAAAACAAAGAACUGUGGACCUAGGUCUUUGAACUUUUUUUUUCUUUAAUCUCAUUUUUUAGUAAAGAAGGACAUCAGCUCAUUACAACAAGACAUUAUAUGGAAAAUUGUUUUAAAAAAAUUUAUAAUGUAGGUUUAAUUGUCAAUGUAAAAUAUUAUUACCAUUAUCUUAUUACUUGCUAAAACUAUUUCUCUUCAAAAAAAUUUCUAGAUAAGAAAUUGUCAUGAAAUGCUUCUAGGUGCAAAAUUGAAGCAAUAAAGAGCAAAACGACCCAAAAAAGUGUAAUUCACAUAUCAUGAACCAAAUUGGCAUAUCAGUGAAGCCUACCCCAUCUACCAUACAUCAAGUUAAGGGCUGUCCCAUCCCAUACACGUACCACAACCCAAGAUGUAUGGUGUUCUUAGUCAAUAUGAUUUAAUUGCCGGAACACUUGACAACGUGCCUGGAAGCAAGUUGAUGUUAACUGCCCCAGUAAGUUAGUUGGAUUCAGUUGCAAGAGAUCCAAAACAUAAAUUAUUAUGCUGUUAAUCUGCAUUAUAUGGUCCUGAACACCAGACUUUCAGCCAUGUAGAUUAUAUUAAAUUUGGAAAUGCCGAGCUGUUGGCGAGAAAAUGUGCAGUUGAUGUUUUAUUAUAGUUUUUUUCCCUUCCAUUUUACGAGCAUAUUUUUCCACAUGCUCACUUUAAUCCAAAGGCAUUUCCUGUAUUCUGUUGUGUGUAGCACUAUGCUUUUCUGUUUUCAUAUGCAUGCUGACUGAGCAUAUGUUUUAUUCUUUCAACUGACUUCAGAGGACAUUGUACUGAAGGCUUGACAAUCUCUCAGUUGUUAUACUGUAUUUUCAUAUUCAUUAGAUUGAUGUUGUUUGGUUGGGACUGUUAAAAACUUAUAACUUUGUUGAAAUGAGAUUAUAUUUAACUUGUACUAAAUGUGUUACAUUCCUUGGGCAAAUGAUUAAUGUCCAUUAUAGAAUCCGGAUGUUUGGUGUCACCUGAUAGAAUACAAUUGUUAUUCCACUAGACAACCUGUGUAGAUAUAGAAAGUAUAAUGAAACUGUUAUACUAGUCUAAAGUCAUUGUAAAUCUUGGAUUCUUUACUACAAUAUACAUGAGUGAUGCACUAGAAGAUAACAGGAAAAUUCACUUCUUCACGUGGUAUCUUGUCCUUUGCAGAACUCAAUGUAGUGCCUCUGGUGUGCUGUGUUAAUUUGAAUGGAAAUAUUAGCAACAUCAUUUUUUAUGAUUCUGAUGUAUUUUUCUCAAAACAUUAUGUCCAUUUUUGUUGAUAAAAUGGUAUCAAUGGGCAUUAUGUGCUGUUUUGGCCUUUUCUUUUUCAGAUGAGAUGUGCAGUGUUUUGUAAAUGGCUAUCCCAACUCCUAAAAGUGGAUGUGUGUAGAGUACCACUUAAUUGAUAGACUAAUUCCAUCAAAAUAGUUCCAUUUCAGUUUAGAAGGAGCCCUUUGUUGGCGAUUGUUUCUCUUGUAUUUAUGCAUGUUUUCGCAAUGCUGAUAUGACAAGUUACUAGACAGUAACUACUGCAAAGGGGUAAACUCUAUUUUUCCAAUGCUCCUAUUCUGCAAGACUUUGGUUGUUAUCAACUUUUUGCUUAUCUUUUUCUUCCCUGCCAAUAAAAACCUCUUGUUGUUUGGUAAGCAACUUCUGAAGAUGCAAUAACCAAAAUGCUAUUUUCCAGACAACUUCUUUACUCUCUAAAUACAUUUCAAGAGAUCUAUUCACUGGUUUCUCUUUAUCUCCAGUUAGCUGGGUUGACAUUUAUUUGCUUAUUUGAAAUGCUUAGUGAAAAGCAUAAAAACCUAGUGAUAAUAUAUAUUCUUACCUGCCUGAUAUAUUUGUCAAUAUUUAGAAACCAUAAUGAAGCAGAAAGUGGUGCAUGCAUAUGUGUGAUUUUAUUUUCUUAUCAAGUGUGGAAAGAAGAAAUUUUAUAAUAGCAACCACAUUUCCUCAUACAUGGGGGCACUAUCUGUCUCUGGAAUUCUGAAAUGGCACAUAAAGUCCCCCUUAAUUCUUGGAACCCUUGCAAGCCUUUUGAUUUUUGACUUGGUAACUGUUUCAGAUGUCUUAGUCCCAAAAUAUUUUGAGUUUCCUUCAGUGAUUACAAAUGUUUCUUAAUAAUUGUUGGAUGACAGGACAUAAUCACUUUUUAUGGACAACUAUACCUUGAUGAAAGUUUACCUGCCGUGGUAACUAAACAUAUUGCAACAUUAAGCAAGAAACAGGCUUAUUAGGUUUCCUCUUUGUACAUUGGAGAUCUUUUGUAGCCGCUUAGUUCUUUUUUGCAAUUAUUUUUCUUUUUUUGGUCAAUCAUCUCUUUCAGUCAAUUUCUGGAAAAGGAAAAGAUUAUAAUGAACAUUUCAAGUUAUUAUCAUAUAUUCCUCAAUAAGAUAGUUGGGUCUUAGUUUCAAAUAUUGGAAACAUUCUGCAUUCAGCUUGUAUCAGUCAUGAUCAUGGCUGAUCUUGGCAGGUUGAAGUUGCCUUUUCUGGUG
rnacentral:misc_RNA from 1 species